UGGGGAAUAUUGGACAAUGGGCGAAAGCCUGAUCCAGCAAUGCCGCGUGAGUGAUGAAGGCCUUAGGGUUGUAAAGCUCUUUUACCAGGGAUGAUAAUGACAGUACCUGGAGAAUAAGCUCCGGCUAACUCCGUGCCAGCAGCCGCGGUAAUACGGAGGGAGCUAGCGUUGUUCGGAAUUACUGGGCGUAAAGCGCACGUAGGCGGCUUUUUAAGUCAGGGGUGAAAUCCCGGGGCUCAACCCCGGAACUGCCUUUGAAACUGGGAAGCUAGAAUCUUGGAGAGGCGAGUGGAAUUCCGAGUGUAGAGGUGAAAUUCGUAGAUAUUCGGAAGAACACCAGUGGCGAAGGCGACUCGCUGGACAAGUAUUGACGCUGAGGUGUGAAAGCGUGGGGAGCAAACAGG
rnacentral:rRNA from 1 species